UCCCUGGUAGUCCAGUGGUUAGGACUCUGUGCUCUCACUGCCAAAGGCACAGGUUCAAUCCCUGGUCGGGGAA
rnacentral:tRNA from 1 species